UACGUAGGGAGCGAGCGUUAUCCGGAAUUACUGGGUGUAAGGGGUGCGUAGGCGGGAUGUAAAGUCAGAUGUGAAAUACCGAGGCUUAACUUCGGAGCUGCAUUUGAAACUUACAUUCUUGAGUGAAGUAGAGGCAAGCGGAAUUCCCAGUGUAGCGGUAAAAUGCGUAGAUAUUGGGAGGAACACCAGUGGCGAAGGCGGCUUGCUGGGCUUUAACUGACGCUGAGGCACGAAAGCAUGGGGAGCAAAC
rnacentral:rRNA from 1 species